rnacentral:rRNA from 1 species
GACGAACGCUGGCGGCGUGCCUAAUACAUGCAAGUUGAGCGCUGAAGGUUGGUACUUGUACCAACUGGAUGAGCAGCGAACGGGUGAGUAACGCGUGGGGAAUCUGCCUUUGAGCGGGGGACAACAUUUGGAAACGAAUGCUAAUACCGCAUAAAAACUUUAAACACAAGUUUUAAGUUUGAAAGAUGCAAUUGCAUCACACAAAGAUGAUCCCGCGUUGUAUUAGCUAGUUGGUGAGGUAAAGGCUCACCAAGGCGAUGAUACAUAGCCGACCUGAGAGGGUGAUCGGCCACAUUGGGACUGAGACACGGCCCAAACUCCUACGGGAGGCAGCAGUAGGGAAUCUUCGGCAAUGGACGAAAGUCUGACCGAGCAACGCCGCGUGAGUGAAGAAGGUUUUCGGAUCGUAAAACUCUGUUGGUAGAGAAGAACGUUGGUGAGAGUGGAAAGCUCAUCAAGUGACGGUAACUACCCAGAAGGGGACGGCUAACUACGUG